ensembl:snRNA U2 U2 spliceosomal RNA
UUUACUUCUCAGCCUUUUGGCUAAGAUCAAGUGUAGUAUCUGUUCUAAGUAGUUUUCUGCUCCAUGGAGUAUCCAAAGCUUGCCCACUCAAAGUACCUGUACCCUCUUCAUUCUCAAAAGCAUUUUAAGUUAAAACCUUUAUUAACAUCUAUUUCUAUAAAAAUGCAUAUAUAUUAUAAUAGAAAGCAGUACU